rnacentral:rRNA from 1 species
CGACACCAAGUUAGGCGGGGCCAACCGUUGAGUUUAUGCAUAUCAAUAAGCAGAGGAAAAGAAAAUUACGAGGAUUCCCCUAGUAAAGGCGAGCGAACCAGGAAGAGCCCAGCUUGAGAAUCGGGUGGUCACGACGCCCGAAUUGUAGUCUGCAGAAGCGUCCUCAGUGACGGACCAGGCCCAAGUCCACUGGAAAAGGGUACCGGAAAGGGUGAGAAUUCAGUCGUGCCCGGACCAUACCGCACCAUGAGGCGCUGUGGGCGAGUCAGGUUGGUUGAUAAUGCAACCCCAAUCGGGCUGUAAAUUCCGUACAAGGCUCAAUACGGGCGAGAGACCGAUAGCGAACAAGUACCGUGAAAGAAAGAUGAAAAGGACUUUGAAAAGAGAGUCAAAGAGUGCUUGAAAUUGAUGGGAGGGAAGUGGAUAGGGGCCGGCGAUGCGGCCCAGCCUGAUGCGAAACGGCGAUGAGCCGGUCCGCCGCUCGGCUCAGGCCACAGACCGAUGCGGGUCGCUCCGGCGGCCGAAGCUCAGGCGGAUGACCCCGCCCGAGGAGACACCGCCAGUGCAACCGUGGACGCAACGCGCGCCAGCCCCUGGGCGUGCCCACCCGUGGUACGGUUGCACUCUAGGCACCGGCCCGCAGGCUCCCCAUCCGACUCAUCUUGAAACACGGACCAAGGAGUCUGACAUGUGUGUGAGCCGACGGGCGCGGGAACCCAGAAGGCGCGAGGAAGCUGAAGGGCGGGAUCCCCCGAGGGGUCCAUGGCUGAUCGACCCCGAUCUUCUAUGAAGGGUUCGAGUUGGAGCACGCUUGUCGGUAGCCGAAAGAUGGUGAACUAUGCCUAAGCGGGGCGAAGCCAGAGGAAACUCUGGUGGAGGCCCAUAAUGAUACUGACGUGCAAAUCGUUCGUCUGACUUGGGUAUAUGGGGCGAAAGACUAAUCGAACCAUCUAGUAGCUGGUUCCCUCUGAAGUUUCCCUCAGGAUAGCUGGAGCCCGUGUGCGAGUUCUAUUGGGUAAAGCCAAUGAUUAGAGGCAUCAGGGGCGCAUCACCCUCAACCUAUUCUCAAACUUUCAAUAGGUAGGACGGCGCGGCUACUCCGAUGAACAGCGCCACAAAAUCGAGAGCUCAAAGUGGGCCAUUUUUGGUAAGCAGAAUUGGCAAUACGGGUUACAGUGCCCGACUGCGCUAAGGAGUGUGUAACAACUGGCCAUUUUUGGUAAGCAGAACUGUCCAUUUUUGGUAACCCAGAACCCACAAAGGGUGUUGGUCAAUUAAGACAACAGGACGGUGGUCAUGGAAAUCGAAAUCCGCUAAGGAGUGUAUAACAACUCACCUACCGAAUCAACUAGCCCCGAAAUGGAUGGCGCUGAAGCGCGCGAACUACACCCGGCCAUCGGGGCGAGCGCCAUGCCAAUGUGAAGCCCGGGGCGUGAGCCCGGGAGGAGCGGCCACCGGUGCGAAUCUUGGUGGUAGUAGCAAAUAUUCAAAUGAGAACUUUGAAGGCCGAAGAGGGGAAACAUUCCAUGUGAACGGCACUUGCACAUGGGUUAGCCGAUCCUAAGAGACGGGGGAGGCCCGUUAGAGAUCGCGUCUGCGCGCGAGCUUCGAAAGGGAAUCGGGUUAAAAUUCCUCAGCCAUGACGUGGCGGCUGACGGGGACGUUAGGGAGUUCGGAGACGCCGGCUGGGGCCCCGGGGAGAGUUAUCUUUUCUGCUUAACGGCCCGCCCACCCUGGAAACGGCUCAGCCGGAGGUAGGGUCCAGCGGCCGAAAGAGCACCGCACGUUAUGCAUUGUCAAGUGCACCCCCGGCGGCCCAUGAAAAUCCGGAGGACCGAGUGCCGCCCAUGCCCAGUCAUACUCAUAAACGCAUCAGGUCUCAAAGGUGAACAGCCUCUGGCCGAUGGAACAAUGUAGGCAAGGGAAGUCGGUAAAACAGAUCCGUAUCUUCGGGAGAAGGAUUGGCUCUAAGGGGUGGGCACGGGGGUCUCGGCCGGGGGACGGACCGGGAAUGGCCCGCACGCCGCUCCCGCGGCACGGGGGCCUUCCCCCGGUGUCUAACAGCCAACUCAGAACUGGUACGGAUAAGGGGAAUCCGACUAUUUAAUUAAAACAAAGCAUUGCGAUUGUCCCAACGGAUGCUCGUGCAAUGUGAUUUCUGCCCAGUGCUCUCAAUGUCAAAGUGAAGAAAUUCAACCAAGCGCGGGUAAACGGCGAGAGUAACUAUGACUCUCUUAAGGCAGCCAAAUGCCUCGUCAUCUAAUUAGUGACGUGCAUGAAUGGAUUAACCAGAUUCCCACUAUCCCUUCUACUAUCUAGUGAAACCACAGCCAAGGGAACGGGCUUGGCCGAAUCAGCGGGGGAAAGAAGGCCCUGUUGAGCUUGACUCUAGUCCGACUUUGUGAAAUGACUUGAGAGGUGUAGGAUAAGUGGAAGCCCUCUGGCGGAAGUGAAAUACCACUACUUUUAACAUUAUUUUACUUAUUCCGUGGACCGAAGGCGGGGCUCUGUCACUCCUUUUGGCUCCAUGACACACCCCUUGCGUGUAUGUACCACAAGUGCACGAGUUGUCAAAGUAAUAAUUACCCUGAUGAGUGGGUAGUCGAAUCCACAGAGAACGGAAGUACUAGUAAUGACUAAUUCUCAGUUAUCUAGUCGAAUCGAUAAUAUGAAGCAAUGGAUGUAAUGUGUAAAAUAAGAAAAUCAUAAGCAAGCAAGUAAAGGAAAAUGGUAAAGGAGAUCUCUAUCAAUGAAGAUUUGAUACCCGGGCAAUGCUCCCCCUAGGCUCUAUCAUGAAGUGCAAGACUAACUAAAUGCUUCCAAACCGAGUUCUAUGAGUUGAGGCAAUCCAAGAAUAAUUGGUCCCUGCCUCCAGGACACCGAUAUUAGUCCCCUACAAGAUCCCGGCGGAGAAAUCGCUCAAUAUCAACA